CAGGCCUAACACAUGCAAGUCGAGCGGACUUAUCCUUCGGGAUAGGUUAGCGGCGGACGGGUGAGUAACACGUAGGCAACCUGCCUGUAAGAUCGGGAUAACUACCGGGAACGGUAGCUAAGACCGGAUAGCUGGUUUCUCCGCAUGGGGGAAUCAUGAAACAUGGGGCAACCUAUGGCUUACGGAUGGGCCUGCGGCGCAUUAGCUAGUUGGUGGGGUAAUGGCCCACCAAGGCGACGAUGCGUAGCCGACCUGAGAGGGUGAUCGGCCACACUGGGACUGAGGCACGGCCCAGACUCCUACGGGAGGCAGCAGUAGGGAAUCUUCCGCAAUGGGCGCAAGCCUGACGGAGCAACGCCGCGUGAGUGAUGAAGGUUUUCGGAUCGUAAAGCUCUGUUGCCAAGGAAGAACGCCUCGGAGAGUAACUGCUCUGAGGGUGACGGUACUUGAGAAGAAAGCCCCGGCUAACUACGUGCCAGCAGCCGCGGUAAUACGUAGGGGGCAAGCGUUGUCCGGAAUUAUUGGGCGUAAAGCGCGCGCAGGCGGUCUUUUAAGUUUGGUGUUUAAGCCCGGGGCUCAACCCCGGUUCGCACUGAAAACUGGGAGACUUGAGUGCAGGAGAGGAAAGCGGAAUUCCACGUGUAGCGGUGAAAUGCGUAGAGAUGUGGAGGAACACCAGUGGCGAAGGCGGCUUUCCGGACUGUAACUGACGCUGAGGCGCGAAAGCGUGGGGAGCAAACAGGAUUAGAU
rnacentral:rRNA from 1 species